rnacentral:tRNA from 1 species
GCACCAUUAGCUCAGUUGGUUAGAGCGUUCGAUUCACAUUCGAAAGGUCUCAGGUUCGAAUCCUGAAUGGUGCACCG